AACUACGUCAUUCGGUGAAUGCGGGGCGUGCCAACUCGUCGGCCGAGCUCGGCCGAGGAGUAAAUUUGUUGAUGUUGCGUUGGGUCGCACUACUGACUUCUGCGUCUUGCGAUUGCGGCCAAGAAAGGAACACGUCUCGGCCUCUUGGGCUCUCGAACCUGAAGACAAGGUUACUAUUCUUACGAAGUUCAAUAUCAAAUUCGGCCCUCAAUGUGCCGAAUGUAAUAACUCGUAACACCUCACUUCGCCGAGAAGGCUGAUGAGAUGACCUCGACCAAUAAGGAUUCAGAAAUCCUUCUCGACCGAGACUUGGAUAGGUAAUCGGUCGUUCUCGCCGCAGUGCUGUUGAUGCCAACGGAAGGUACUGCGAGACCGACUGAUUCUACGGUGACAGAGCUAUCUAUGCCGACUUAAGAUAUCACCGGUUGCUUCCACAGUGCUGUUGAUGCCAACGGAAGAUGUGUCAGCGAAAAAAGGAAAAAGAAAAAUCACAAGUUGUGAGAAUUUGCGCAGGGCAAUUUUGUAUUGAUU
rnacentral:lncRNA from 1 species